AGUAUCCUUGAGCAAGAUACUGAACCCCAAAUUGCUCCUGAUGCCAUGCAUCGGUGUGUGAAUGUGUAUGAAUGUUAGUUUCUGUUUGAUGGACUUUGCCAUCACUGAGUGAAUGUGUGUGAAAGGGUGAAUGUGGCACGUAGUGUAAAAGCGCUUUGAGUGGUCGGAAGACUAGAAAGGCGCUAUACAAGUACAGGUCCAUUUACCAUUUACCAUUUACACUUUUCCAACAAGCCACCCCUUGCUGUGGUGACUAAUGACUGAGUGUCCUCCUUCAGAAGCAAAGGCCAGAUAGAACCUCUGACAGUCUGGUCACACCAGAAAGUGAUUGUGAGAAUGCAUUUUAGUCAAAGCAUUCCACAUCUUUUCCUCUCCACACGGACUGUUGCCUGCAUGCAACCAAAGCGCGCUCAAACAUGAUUGCUACUACUAGUACUAAGUACUACUUGGACUACAAAUGGAAACCAGAACCCUUCUGAUGCCAAAUCUCAGUUCAUUUAUUGAAGAGGCUUAUCGUCUCUCAAUCAUCUGCAAACCAUGCGUCUUUUGUGACCAGUUCAUACUCCAGCAGGGCAUGGUAAUAAUAAAGUGAAUGGUGCAACAUAGCUAGUACACUAAGAUAGCUUCCUUUGUUUUUUACAGUUGGCUCUCUGUUGCCAUAAAGGUCACCACUGUCAAGACAGUUUGCUACCAGUUAGUGGCGCACAUAUGUGAGCCAAAGUUCACCCACGCUGACUUGUAUGGAUGAAUUACAAAUGAACUGCACACUGUCGUUGUGGAAGACACUGACAGACUACCUGUAUUGUCCCCAAAGUGUGAAGACUGCAUUCUCUUUGUAGUUUUUUAUUAAGUUGUAGAUUUGCCUUUCCAACUAAUUUUUUCCCACUUACAAAGAAAAUGCGUCACUAAAUGCAACGUAAUGUUACAAAGCUGCUUGUCAUGGUCUGACAACUGUUUUGUUCAGUUCAGCCGGUCCAUAUAAACUUUGUUAAUUAGGUUUAAUGGCUCAGCAACCACCCAUCUGCACCCAUGCACAGUAUUUAAAAGGUAAAGAGAGCUUCAGACUCUGAAUGACUUCUGAAAAACAUCAUUUUAGAUGCAGAGGUGGAGCUAUGCUUGGCGGGAUACAGGGGAAAGACCAUUAUCCACAUGGGACCCUUCGACUAAUGAAUUAAGAGACAGGAACUCAGUCUCAGAUAUUAACUACACCCACCUGAAUGGCUGUCUUUUUGUUAUAGUCAUGCAUUUUAUCCACCAUGAAAUGUACAGUAUAGCUCCACUGUCUGCUGGGGGUGGGCGUUAGGAAUAGUUUUUGUUAUUACUUUGUCCUGCCUAUAGCUAUGUGUAAAUGCAUUUUUAUCACACUUUUGUCGUCAACAAUAAAGAGGUUAGAUUUUUUAUUUUCAAAUUCC